GCAGUGGGGAAUUUUGCGCAAUGGGGGGAACCCUGACGCAGCAACGCCGCGUGCGGGACGAAGGCCUUCGGGUUGUAAACCGCUUUCAGCAGGGAAGACUUUGACGGUACCUGCAGAAGAAGCUCCGGCUAACUACGUGCC
rnacentral:rRNA from 1 species